UACAGAGGUGGCAAGCGUUGUUCGGAAUUACUGGGCGUAAAGGGCGCGUAGGCGGUUCGGCAAGUCCUGUGUGAAAUCCCCCGGCUCAACUGGGGAACUGCACAGGAAACUAGCGGGCUUGAGUUCGGGAGAGGGAAGCGGAAUUCCGGGUGUAGCGGUGAAAUGCGUAGAUAUCCGGAGGAACACCGGUGGCGAAGGCGGCUUCCUGGACCGACACUGACGCUGAGGCGCGAAAGCUAGGGGAGCAAACAGG
rnacentral:rRNA from 1 species